rnacentral:rRNA from 1 species
GACAGAGGUGCCGAGCGUUAGGCGGAAUCACUGGGCUUAAAGCGUGUGUAGGCGGGUCGUUAAGUGUCUUGUGAAAUCCCACCGCUCAACGGUGGAACUGCUGGGCAUACUGGCGAUCUUGAGCCACCUAGGGGCAGACGGAACAAGCGGUGGAGCGGUGAAAUGCGUAGAUAUCAUUUGGAACGCCAAUGGUGAAAACAGGUAGCUGGGAGUGUGCUGACGCUGAGACACGAAAGCCAGGGGAGCGAACGGG